rnacentral:rRNA from 1 species
GAUGCACGCUGGCGGCGUGCCUAAUACAUGCAAGUCGAGCGAACAGACCAGGAGCUUGCUCCUCUGACGUUAGCGGCGGACGGGUGAGUAACACGUGGAUAACCUACCUAUAAGACUGGGAUAACUUCGGGAAACCGGAGCUAAUACCGGAUAAUAUAUUGAACCGCAUGGUUCAAUAGUUAAAGUCGGUUUUGCUGUCACUUAUAGCUGGAUCCGCGCCGCAUUAUCUAGUUGGUAAGGUAACGGCUUACCAAGGCGACGAUGCGUAGCCGACCUGAGCGCGUGAUCAGCCAGACUGUGUCAGAGACACGUUCCUGACUCCUACGGGAGGAUGCAGCAGGGAGCCCUCCGAAAUGGACGAAAGCAUGACGGUGGACCGCCGCCUGAGUGAUGAAGGUCUACGGAUCGUAAAGAACUGUUAGUAGGGAAGAACAAAUGUGUAAGUAACGGUGCACGUAUUGACGGUACCGGAUAAGAAAGCCACGGCUAACUACGUG